AUGUUUAUCCCUUCAAUAGCAUAUAUAUCAAAAUUGGAAUGGUACAGAGAAAACUAACAUGCAUCCUGCACAAGGAUGACACAUAAAUCUGUGUGAAGAGUUCCAUAGUAAA
ensembl:snRNA U6 U6 spliceosomal RNA